UGUACAUGAAACUGGCUUAUAAGGGCGGUCGGCUAAUCUCCCGGAAGGGAGGUGAUGCCCGUGGCGAUUAAUGAAGCUUUGACGAUCAUGAUCAGUUUUGGUGCGCUUAUUAUUGCGCUGCUGACGCUGGUUGUGGCCAUCGUCGUAGCGAUUAAUCAAAACACAAAGAAAUAGACCGCCCCCCAGCGAAGGAUGCGGUCUAUUUUGAUCCACCUUUGCACAGCCGACCGCUCUUUAAAGCGGUAAGUGUACAUGAGGAGUCGUGUUACAGCACGGCUC
rnacentral:sRNA from 1 species